rnacentral:rRNA from 1 species
CAGCAGCCGCGGUAAUACGUAGGGUGCGAGCGUUAAUCGGAAUUACUGGGCGUAAAGCGUGCGCAGGCGGUUCGCUAAGACAGAUGUGAAAUCCCCGGGCUUAACCUGGGAACUGCAUUUGUGACUGGCGAGCUAGAGUAUGGCAGAGGGGGGUAGAAUUCCACGUGUAGCAGUGAAAUGCGUAGAGAUCGGGGGGAACAUCAGUGGCGAAGGCGGCCACCUGGGACAACACUGACGCUGAGGCACGAAAGCGUGGGGAGCAAACAGGAUUAGAGACCCCUGUAGUCCCUGUCUCUUAUAC